UCCGCUUCAUUUAUUUGCCAGCUACUGAAGCACUCUCUCUCAAAUCUGAACUCUCAAUACUGCAGAAGAGGGAAGAAGGGUAAGAGGAAACGAGAGGAGACGGAGAUAUUGAGGAGGUUUUGAUCUGGGUUCUGCCGACGGGAGGAACGAAGAUGCAGAGGAGAGAAGGGAAAAGAAGAUGAAGAGGGAGAGCCUUCAGCAAUUAGAUAUGCUCUGAUCGAAAUUCCAAGGGAUGAGAAGAGAUGAGUUUUGCAGCAGAAUCUCAGCCAAAACAGGGAAUUCCCUGAGAAAUGUAAGGAAGCUGUUGCAUUACUGAUGGUUGCUGUAGCUAGAUUUUCUGAUUUACCAGUACGUAUGUACGUUGUCUGACAUUAGGCAACUAUUUCAAGAGAGAUAUGCAAACUCUCUGGCUUAUUGUGUGGAUCAAAAGUUUUUCAUGUGCUCUACUGCAUCACAACCUCAGCUUUGGGAGGCACAAGAUUCAGAAAGGUUUAAGUAUGCAAGGGAUACAUCAUUCGGAAAGAGUCAUUUGAACUUCUGGAGCCAGUCAUCAGUUUUCCUUUGCAUUGUGUGCUUCUUCAGACAGUUUUUCAGGCAGUUACUAUGAGUACCUGACUCUGAGGCAUGGUUUUAUCUCGGCACAUUUAGCACAUGAGAUCAUUUAUUCUCAUGCUAAUGGGUGAGAGAAGAGGAUUUGGCAAAGAUCUUCGUUGUACUUUACGAUUUUCUGAGGAGGUGAAACUGGUCACCCGAGACCAUAGGAAGAAGGUAAAUUUAAAUGUUGAAGAGCCGAACGUUAAAAAAUUAUAUGCAGGCAUAGAUUGAUGGGUAGAUAUGAAGCUCAUUUAUGGAACAAAGGGUCUUGGAACCCAACACAAAGGAAGAAGGGAAAACAGGUAAGUACUUAAUUACUAGCUAGACUGCUCAAAACCACUUAAUUGUCAGAUAAACAUAUCUUCAAUCAUCUAACACAAAAUCUAUAUGCAGGGGCUUAUGACGAAGAAGAAUCCACAGCAAAAGCAUAUGAGUUGGGUUGCAUUAAGAGGUUAUGACUCUGAUAUUAAAAGUUCAAAUCCCUUGAGACCAACCUUUAAUACAUAUUGCAAAGAUUGUCUGCAGCAGUCGCUUAUAGAAAAAGAAGUUACCUAAACUCAGUAAUUCAUUAUUGUCUUGACCAGAUCUCUAGAUUCAUCUUAGCUUGCAUUAAGAGGACAACAUUGCUGAUUUUCAUCUUGUCAAAUAUCAAGAGUUGCAAAUAUGAGUGUAGAGUAGAUCCCUGUCCUAAACUAAUUAAAUCUCGAUCAGUUUGGCAUCCCACUGAUUAGAUCAGU